UGGGGAGUUGCUCAGUGGUAAAGCACCUGCCUAGCAAGCAUGAGGCCUUGAGUUUAAUCCCCAUCACCACAU
rnacentral:tRNA from 1 species